CUGCUAGGCUCAGCGGCUUGAGCAGUGGCUUGAAACUGACUCUCAGGGGUCUGAGACCUAGGCAGAACCAUGAGCCCAGACCAGAGAGACAGGAGCUUGGAGCUGGAUGGGACCUUUAAGAUAACCUAGUCUAACUGCCUGAUUUUAUGGGUGAGGAAGAUGUAGACAAGUUCUCUAGGAUGUCCCCAAAUUGAAGAGAAGAAAGUGACCUGAAGUACAGCAGAAUCCUUUCUCCCAUCGUUCUGCUCAGAGACUUUGGAACCGAUAUCCGAUGUCCAGGUCUGGCUGAAGAGUGCUGGUUCCCAUAAGUGCCACACUGCACAUUGAUGGGUGAUCCCUGGAGUGGUAAGAGCAGAGCUGUGCUGGUUACCUGCCAAGACUGGC
rnacentral:lncRNA from 1 species